rnacentral:lncRNA from 1 species
AUGGGAGGGAGCUUAACCUUUACUGAGUGCCCAUGCUGGGGGCUUUAGAGCCUCGUCAUUUUUCACUGUUACUUCGGUAUUAUAAAGAAGAAAUUACUGUCUCCAUUCGAUAGAUUAGGAAACCAAGGCUCAUGGAGCAAGAUCAGGAAACAGCCCCGGAAAGCUGCAAGUUUUCUUCAUCAUCAGCUGCUUGGAGAAGCUUCUUUCUAAAAGCCAGGCUUUCUAGAAUCAUGUAGGGAGAGAUGGGGUGAUGAUUAUGAUGAAGAAGGUGAAGAAGCAGAUGAGGAAGGGGAAGAAGGAGGAGAUGAGGAAAAUGAUCCAGACUAUGACCCAAAGAAGGAUCAAAACCCAACAGAGUGCAAGCAGCAGUGAAGCAGGAUGGUCUACCUUCCGCUUCCCUGGAAAGGAUGAAUUUACAUCAUUUGACAAGCCUAUUUUCAAGUUAUUUGUUGUUUGUUUGCUUGUUUUUGUUUUUGCAG